rnacentral:rRNA from 1 species
GAGUUUGAUCGUGGCUCAGAGUGAACGCUGGCGGCAGGCCUAACACAUGCAAGUCGAACGGCAGCACAGCAGUAGCAAUACUGUGGGUGGCGAGUGGCGGACGGGUGAGGAAUACAUGGGAAUCUACCCUGUCGUGGGGGGAUAACGUAGGGAAACUUACGCUAAUACCGCAUACGACCGAGAGGUGAAAGCGGCGGACCGCAAGGCGUCGCGCGAUUGGAUGAGCCCAUGUCGGAUUAGCUAGUUGGCGGGGUAAAGGCCCACCAAGGCGACGAUCCGUAGCUGGUCUGAGAGGAUGGAUCAGCCACACUGGAACUGAGACACGGUCCAGACUCCUACGGGAGGCAGCAGUGGGGAAUAUUGGACAAUGGGCGCAAGCCUGAUCCAGCCAUGCCGCGUGAGUGAAGAAGGCCUUCGG